GACGAACGCUGGCGGCGUGCUUAACACAUGCAAGUCGAACGAAGUGGCGAACGGGUGAGUAACGCGUAAUCAACCUGCCCUUCAGAGGGGGACAACAGUUGGAAACGACUGCUAAUACCGCAUACUGAAGGAGGGGAUUGCGUCUGAUUGGCUAGGUGGAGGGGUAACGGCCCACCAAGGCGAUGAUCAGUAGCCGGUUUGAGAGGAUGAACCGGCACAUUGUGACUGGGAAACGGCCCAGACUUCUACGGGGGGGAGCAGUGGGGAAUUUUCCGCAAUGGACGAAAGUCUGAAGGAGCAACGCCGCGGGAGUGAUGACGGCCCUCGGGUUGGAAAGCUCUGUUAAUCGGGACGCGGUACCGGAAUAGAAAGCCACGGCUAACUACGUGCCAGCAGCCGCGGUAAUUC
rnacentral:rRNA from 1 species